rnacentral:rRNA from 1 species
AUAAACCGGAGGAAGGUGGGGAUGACGUCAAAUCAUCAUGCCCCUUAUGACCUGGGCUACACACGUGCUACAAUGGGCGGUACAAAGGGUCGCGAACCCGCGAGGGGGAGCCAAUCCCAAAAAGCCGCUCUCAGUUCGGAUUGCAGGCUGCAACUCGCCUGCAUGAAGCCGGAAUCGCUAGUAAUCGCGGAUCAGCAUGCCGCGGUGAAUACGUUCCCGGGCCUU